GUUCAAUGAAAAAUAAUUACAAUGAAUUGUAUGCAUCAAAUUUUUUCCGUCCCGCUUGCAGACUACGGACUGUCAGGUACUUUUCUGCCAUAUAUCUGGUGUGGUUAAAAAAAUUUGAUGCACUAGCAACCUGCAUCAUAUAUGUGCAUCACUGCACAUAAGCAUUCAUACACUCACUAUUAACAUCGAUCUACAAUAAGAUAUGUCUAAAAGCGUAUAAAAGAGAGACGUCUUGCUUUUAUUAUGUCUCUUAACAUAAGUCAAAUGUGUUUAAAACAUUUGUGCUAUCUGAGACCUUAGGAAAGAUCAACGAACAACGUGAAAUAAUUUAAACCGAUUUACAUAUUUACAUAUAAAUAUUUACUUACAGAAAUAGAAAUAUUUUAUCUCCACACGCUCUCUCUCCUUACUUGGCUCUUCUUCCUGUAAAUAACCUGUAAAUAAUCUGAAAAUAACCUGUAAAUAACCUGAAAAUAACCUGAAAAUAAACACCUCUCACUAAAUUAAUAAUCACUUGCUAUCACUUGCUAUCGCACAAAACACACAAAAUUCCUACUACUCCAGAAAACUGGUAAACAGUAAGUGUCCAAUAUGGCAUCCGACGAGCGGUAGUGGGGAAUCGACUGUGCUGCCCUCGGCCUAUGUACCGAAAGAAUAAGCGAACUAAUCACUUCCGUCACCCCUAAAAUACGAGGAGUUUGUACGCCCUGCUGAGAUGGGAGGUAACGCUACAGUUUCCCGAAAAAUGGCGGAGACAAAAUGUACACACGUUGUCACAAAUAUCAUGUAUCAUCAAAUUAUAAGUGUAAAAUACUUCAUAAUAUUAAAUAAAAAUGACAUAAGUGAAAACAUAAAGUGCGUAUAACAAAAUAAAUGAGACGAGUGAGAACAUAAAGUUAAUAAGCUUCCCAGCUAUCCAAGUGCUUGCAGAAUAUUAUUAGUUGGAGGCCACUUUUCUGUGAAGUAAGAUUACCAAAGUCUGAGGUUACUGUGUCCUUGAAUGCGUCCCAGAAAGCAAAAGUUGAAUCACAUCCUAACAUCAAAUAUCAGAGUAAGAUGUGUUACUAGCAGUAUGAUGACAGAUUAAUGCAUCAAACUAAUAAUAGGAAACAGGAUGUUUUGCCUAUGUUUGCCUCUGCAAGUAAGGUUGUUGUGAUUUACGGUCAAGAAUGAUGAACUUUUUCCCAAAAAUUGAGGAUUGGUCCUUAAAGAAGACAACUACAGUAAAAUGAAAAAUAAAAAUUAUAUAAAUGGAAGAUGCAAGAGUCACGAGAAGUCAAGGAUCGCAAAGAAAAUAGAAAGAGGAAUUAUAAUCGGAUCUUGCCCAAAAUGUUGGAUUCCUCAUCAUGUUAUGAAUGUUUCUCUGGUGUUGUGUUAAUUUUUCUGUAAUAGAUAAUAUUAAAUUAUAAGAAUGCUAAAAAUAUUCUAGCAAUAAAUGCAAUAGAGUGCUUA